GACGAACGCUGGCGGCGUGCCUAAUACAUGCAAGUCGAACGCUUCUUUCCUCCCGAUUGCUUUCACUCAAUUGGAAAGAGGAGUUGCGGACGGGUGAGUAACCCUUGGGUAACCUACCCAUCAGAGGGGGAUAACACUUGGAAACAGGUGCUAAUACCGCAUAACAGUUUAUUCCGCAUUGCAUAAGGGUGAAACGCGCUUUCGGAUUUCGCUGCUGGAUGGACCCGCUGUGCAGUAGCUAGUUGGUGAGGUAACGGCUCACCAAGGCCACGAUGCAUAGCCGACCGGGGAGGGGGAUCGGCCAAAAUGGGACUGAGAAACGGCCCAAACUCCUAGGGAAGGCAGCAGUAGGGAAUCUUCGGCAAUGGACGAAAGUCUGACCGAGCAAGGCCGGGUGGGUGAAGAAGGUUUUCGGAUCGUAAAACUCUGUUGUUAGGGAAGAACAAGGACGUUAGUAACUGAACGUCCCUGACGGUAUCUAACCAGAAAGCCACGGCUAACUACGUG
rnacentral:rRNA from 1 species